GGGUUCAGAGGAUUAAGCUCUGGAGGUAUUAUCAGAUGGUCGGGCCGCCAUCU
rnacentral:ncRNA from 12 species